CAUGGUUGUUGAGGUGACCACUGACAUGGAAGCGAGGGCCCCUGGGUGUCGGGUUGCGGUGGAUGUGGAAGAAUCGUGGGUUCAGGUGCAGAUAGGAACAGCUGAAGAGAGACAGGAAAGGGGGUGAAAGAGAGGAUGACAUGCAGCAAAGGGUCUUGGACUAAAAUUAAACCCAGGCUGCUGGACUCUUACUUAGUACAUAGUACGCUCUACCAGGUGAGCUAACGGGGCACCUUGGUCUAUCUCAAGUAAUCAGUAGCCUUCACAGCUGAGUGUUGAAUUCAGUAGAACUUAAGUGUGUGUAUAGCUGCAGUAUGGCCACAAGAUUUAAUUGCAAUUUUAAAAAAUUAUAACAUAUAUAUAUAUAUAUUAAAAUCAUUGUUUGGUUCUCAACAGCUAAUUUAAUCUUUUCUAAUGUACAUAUUGUUGUUCAUUUUAGAAAUCAAUUAAUACACCACAAACCCCUCCUAUAAACAGCAGUUGUCCAUCAUAGCUUCCAGGUCUGUCAAGCUUUGGAUUUCUUUACAUGCCAAAGUGGUGUGGCUCGCAGACCAAAACUCUGUAUCUGGAGUACAAGGGCAAAAGUGUAAGACAAUUAGUGUUUACUUCUCCUGCAAAUGUUAGGCUAUUUCUGGCUGAGGACUUAAAGCAUCCCCCCUUUCGGAGCCAAGAUGCUAAUAUUAUCAGAGUUUAAAGUAAUAUCCACCAGUUUGUGGAAUCUGUGUUCAAAUCUUUCAUUACAACCUAGCUUCAUUUCACUCAAAUAUCACCAGUGUUACAAGGACAUUAGCAACUGACAAUCCAGCCAGGAAAUGGCACAAACACAUUUUAUUUUUUCAAUAAAAGGAAAUAAAAACUGUUUUUAAGAUAACGAUAACAUACCUUCCAGUCCCUGCUGACUGUGCUGAAGAUCACAGCCUGAGGUAGGAUAAUUUCCGUGUCUCUUGUGUUUUAAACUUCAGAUACAGAAGUUGUCCAUCUGAUAAGCCACUGAAUUAUCUCUCUGUCUCUGUACCCUCUCUUUCAGGUCCCUGGCUGCUCUCAGGGAGAGAUGCCCCACUAUUGUUGGUUUGGCCCCUCCUCAUCUGUGCCCAACAAGACUUUUAUUUACUGGACCAAACAGCAGAAGUCCUGGACAGUAAACAGACUGGAGCACAUAUUGGUGUUAAGACCUAUGAACUACAGUUACUUGGGGACUUAAUAUAAUAGCAACAACAACAACAAAAAACAUUCGCUAUUUGAUAAAGGAAAAACAAGUUAUCUUUCUGAAACUAUAAUUGCAAGCUAAAAUAACUCUAAUGCAUUCCUAAACACACUGCCUCUGAUGGACUUUCACAGCAACGGGGAUGUGCCAUGCACUUUACUAGCAAAUCAGAGUAGGCCUACAUAAAGCACACAUUCAAAGUAACACUACUCUAGUUUAGCCUAUAUGCCGCGAACAAAAAAACAUGGCAAAGAGUCUACAGCCAUGCUAGCGGCUACUAGGGCUGUUCUUAUGCACAGCAGUGCUUUGAGUUGAAUGCAAAUGGUAGCAUGGUCACAAUGUCAAUGCUAACAUGGUAAUGUUUAGCAGAAAUACUGUUUACAAUAUUAACCAUCUUAGUUUAGCUUGUUUGAAUGCUAACAUUUGGACUUCCGGUUUGAUGAGGUAGAGUGCAGACGUGCGAGGGGGGAGCUCCGGACAAACUUUUCAUUUACUCUUCAAAGUCUACCAAAUUAGCAGUGCUUUUCUUCCAGCCGACUCGCGUAUUAUUGAACUUUUAUAUGGGAAAGUGUAUGAGCAGCUCAAAGUCUAAAUACCAACCGAUAAAAACAACUCGAGCAACGUGCAUCUCGGCUAAGCUAGCUAGCAUGACCGCUGCCGCCGCUUCAGAGCGUUCAGACCCGGGGGGCAGUGGAGCCGAGACCGGGAACCUCUCCGACCCAGUCACCAAGAUUGACCUGCGUCAACAGCGUGAUAGCUUCAAAGCUGACAUGGCUAUCCUGAUACAACAGUCAACUGAAUCCCUGAAGCAGUCGGUCGAUGCAUUAGGACAGCAGGUGACAUCAUUUAACAACCGUCUCAGUGGGUGAAAA